rfam:Lupinus angustifolius cultivar Tanjil chromosome LG15, whole genome shotgun sequence.
AGGUGCGAUCAUACCAGCACUAAUGCACCAGAUCCCAUCAGAAAUCCGUAGUUUAGCGUGCUUGGGCGAGAGUAGUACUAAGAUGGGUGACCUCCUUGGAAGUCCUCGUGUGCACCUC